rnacentral:rRNA from 1 species
UACGUAGGGUGCAAGCGUUGUCCGGAAUUAUUGGGCGUAAAGAGCUCGUAGGCGGUCUGUCGCGUCUGCUGUGAAAACUCAGGGCUUAACCCUGAGCUUGCAGUGGGUACGGGCAGACUAGAGUGCGGUAGGGGAGACUGGAAUUCCUGGUGUAGCGGUGAAAUGCGCAGAUAUCAGGGAGGGAACACCGGUGGCCGAAGGCGGGUCUCUGGGCCGAUACUGACGCUGGAGGAGCGAAAGCCGUGGGGAGCAAACAGG